rnacentral:rRNA from 1 species
AUUGAACGCUAGCGGGAUGCCUUACACAUGCAAGUCGAACGGCAGCGCGGACUUCGGUCUGGCGGCGAGUGGCGAACGGGUGAGUAAUGUAUCGGAACGUGCCUAGUAGCGGGGGAUAACUACUCGAAAGAGUAGCUAAUACCGCAUACGCCCUACGGGGGAAAGGGGGGGAUCGCAAGACCUCUCACUAUUAGAGCGGCCGAUAUCGGAUUAGCUAGUUGGUGAGGUAAAGGCUCACCGAGGCGACGAUCCGUAGCUGGUUUGAGAGGACGACCAGCCACACUGGGACUGAGACACGGCCCAGACUCCUACGGGAGGCAGCAGUGGGGAAUUUUGGACAAUGGGGGAAACCCUGAUCCAGCCAUUCCGCGUGUGCGAUGAAGGCCUUCGGGUUGUAAAGCACUUUUGGCAGGAAAGAAAUCGCAUGGGUUAAUAACCUGUGUGGAUGACGGUACCUGCAGAAUAAGCACCGGCUAACUACGUGCCAGCAGCCGCGGUAAUACGUAGGGUGCAAGCGUUAAUCGGAAUUACUGGGCGUAAAGCGUGCGCAGGCGGUUAUACAAGACAGGCGUGAAAUCCCCGGGCUUAACCUGGGAAUGGCGCCUGUGACUGUAUAGCUAGAGUGUGUCAGAGGGGGUAGAAUUCCACGUGUAGCAGUGAAAUGCGUAG